rnacentral:rRNA from 1 species
AUUGAACGCUGGCGGCAGGCCUAACACAUGCAAGUCGAGCGAGCGGCGGACGGGUGAGUAAUGUAUGGGGACUGCCCGAUAGAGGGGGAUAACUACUGGAAACGGUGGCUAAUACCGCAUACUAUCGGAUAACCCAUAUGGGAUUAGCUAGUAGGUGGGGUAAAGGCUCACCUAGGCGACGAUCCCUAGCUGGUCUGAGAGGAUGACCAGCCACACUGGGACUGAGACACGGCCCAGACUCCUACGGAGGCAGCAGUGGGGAAUAUUGGACAAUGGGCGAAAGCCUGAUCCAGCCAUGCCGCGUGUAUGAAGAAGGCCUUAGGGUUGUAAAGUACUUUCAGCGGGGAGGCGUUACCCGCAGAAUAAGCACCGGCUAACUCCGUGCCAGCAGCCGCGGUAAUUC